rnacentral:rRNA from 1 species
AAUAGAUACCCCGGUAGUCCACGCCCUAGACGAUGUCAACUAGUUGUUGGGGAUUCAUUUCCUUAGUAACGUAGCUAACGCGUGAAGUUGACCGCCUGGGGAGUACGGUCGCAAGAUUAAAACUCAAAGGAAUUGACGGGGACCCGCACAAGCGGUGGAUGAUGUGGAUUAAUUCGAUGCAACGCGAAAAACCUUACCUACCCUUGACAUGGUCGGAAUCCUGCUGAGAGGCGGGAGUGCUCGAAAGAGAACCGGCGCACAGGUGCUGCAUGGCUGUCGUCAGCUCGUGUCGUGAGAUGUUGGGUUAAGUCCCGCAACGAGCGCAACCCUUGUCCUUAGUUGCUACGCAAGAGCACUCUAAGGAGACUGCCGGUGACAAACCGGAGGAAGGUGGGGAUGACGUCAAGUCCUCAUGGCCCUUAUGGGUAGGGCUUCACACGUCAUACAAUGGUCGGAACAGAGGGUUGCCAAGCCGCGAGGUGGAGCCAAUCCCAGAAAACCGAUCGUAGUCCGGAUCGCAGUCUGCAA